UUCAGGGGCUGUGGGCGGGGACUGAGGGGGUGUGUGCUUGAGUGUGCGCAGAAGGCUCCACCCUCCUGGGCACAUCUGGCCACUCCUGCAGAUGUGGCUCUGGCCUGGUGGCCUCAGAGUCGUCAGCAUGGCUGACGGGAAACCACUGAGGAAUGUGCCAGCCGCCUCUGGGAGCAGCAUUUGUUGGAGGCAGACACCAGUCAGGCUCCCCAGACACACACACACACACACACACACACACACACACACGCACCCGCCGCCUGGGGGCCGCCUCCUCGCCCUGCUUCCUGUCCCCUCCCCCUGCACAGCUGCUGUUUGGCUUGCUCUCUAUAUAGCGGGGUAUUCAGGGUAAUCACAAUAAAACUGUUGAGAAGAGAUAAUGCAGCAGAGGAAGCUAGGCUGGCUCCCAGCUCCCUCUGUCCCUUCCCCCAUUUCCAUCCCAGCUCUCCUGCCCCUGCCCUGCCAGUGGAGGUGGAGAGGGUGGGGUGAGCAGGUGGUGCCCCCAGCUCUGGAGCCAGCCUCUGUGCCUCAGUUUGUCUGGUGUUGUAGCCUUUGGCAGGGGAGUGGCGUUGUGAGGUCCAGAGAAGGCACAGGAAAGUGAGCAAGGCGCAGGGUUUGUCUUCGUAGCCUGGUUCUUCAGCCUCUCGGCUGGGUCUGUCACGUUCUCUAGGCCUCAGUUUCCUCGUCUGUGAGGGGGGCAGCAGCAGUGCUCAGGCAGUGACUGCACGCCCAGUGUCUGGCCGAUCCCUGCCCACCGGCCACUGCGCUCCUCCCCCUGCUCCUCCCCGGCUGCCGCCUCUUCCUUCUCUUCAGCCUCUUUUCAGACAGGGUCUUAGCCCAGGCUGGCCCUGACCUCACAGCCUCCCUCCCGCCUGAGGCUCCCGAGUGCUGGGGCCAGAGCCCGGGGCCUGCACUUGCCCAGCAGCGCUGUGCCCCCAGCUGUGCACCCCUCGCACGCCUCCCUCCCCAAGUCCCGGGUGCAGUCUCCUCACUGGGUGGAUGGCAGUGUCCGGCACGUGUCCUGAUGCCCAUGCUGCACUCGGGGCCCGGUCGCCCUGCCUGGUGCCCACUGAACAUUUUCCUCUUGUUUG
rnacentral:lncRNA from 1 species